UGUAAAAUGAAAAGUCAAUGUGAUACUUCAAGCUGGAUCAAGUACUUUGGCACAGGAACCAAAUUAAUUGUUUCUGAUAUUCAAGCAAAACUUGAUUCCAAAAAGGUCCAGGUCCUGCCUCCUUCUACUAAACAAGAUGGGAAGGUAUCAUACAUGUGCCUCAUUCAGGAUUUUUACCCAAAUGUUAUUAAGGUGACUUGGAAAGAUGAGGACAAGAAGAAUGCAGAGAACAAUGCAGUGCACGAGGAAAUUUGGCCCCCUGGUGACAAUCAACAAUCAUACUCAAUAAGCAGCUGGCUGACUGUAGAUAAAAAUAGCAACAAGAAUUAUGGCUGCCACUAUCAACAUGAAAGCAAAGAGGAUUUUGUCCGCACCGAAUCUCCAGGCACCAUUUCAGACACCACUGUAGCGCCUCAAACCACGGGAGUUUGUAUCAAGCAUGCUGAGAAUGGCACCACGCUUUCCACAGAUAUUACAGACAGUUUCAUGCACAGGACGGCGUAUUUAAUAUACAUUGUCCUUCUCCUGAAAAGUACCAUGUACUACGUCAUCGUACUCUUCUUCAUGUACAGAAUGAAAAGUCCAAUCAAGCACCGGGGAAAGAAACCUUAAACUUCUCCGUACACCUUCCAAUGUCAGCAUUUCUGUCUCAAAUUUACUUUGCUUUGCCAUAAGCCUGUUCAUAUGAAACACCUUGCUCUAAAUAUUAAUUUGAUUUUGUUGGCUAUUUCUCUAAAUAGCACAGAUGGCUUCUUCUGCUUGAGAGCGAACAGUUUUAUAUGUGACCAUAUUUCCUAUUAUAUUAUUUUAAUUUUGUAACUGUGGAACUUCAAGGGCUGAGGCUACACUUCUUGAUUUCAAUAGAAAUUUUGCAUCAUAAAGUAGUGCAGAAUCAGUCUCUUCGGCUCUUAUCCUGCAAAUACACUUGUACACACAAAGAAAUUUUUGGAUGUGGAUAGGCCAACUGCAUUCAGUGAAGUCAAUGGGAAAACUCGUCCCAUAAAUAUUUGCAGGGGUGGAGUACUCAUCUGUAAUUUAAAAUGAUUUGUCAUUUCAUUUCUACUAAUUACAUUUAUUUGCUUUAUAAAACAAAAACAGGCUUCUGAAAUAUGGCUAAUUUUUUAAUUGGAAGAUUAAUGGAUUUUAA